GACGAACGCUGGCGGCGUGCUUAACACAUGCCAGUCGAACGGAAAGGCCCUGCUUUUGUGGGGUGCUCGAGUGGCGAACGGGUGAGUAACACGUGAGUAACCUGCCCUUGACUUUGGGAUAACUUCAGGAAACUGGGGCUAAUACCGGAUAGGAGCUCCUGCUGCAUGGUGGGGGUUGGAAAGUUUCGGCGGUUGGGGAUGGACUCGCGGCUUAUCAGCUUGUUGGUGGGGUAGUGGCUUACCAAGGCUUUGACGGGUAGCCGGCCUGAGAGGGUGACCGGCCAAAUUGGGCUGGGGAUAGGGCCCAGACUCCUACGGGGGGAAGCGGGGGGGAAUAUUGCCCAAGGGGGGGAAGCCGGAUGCAGCAACGCCGGGGGGGGGAUGACGGCCUUCGGGUUGUAAACCGCUUUCGCCUGUGACGAAGCGUGGGUGACGGUAAUGGGUAAAGAAGCCCCGGCUAACUACGU
rnacentral:rRNA from 1 species